GCCGAUGCAGCAUGGUGCUGACCUGCCUCUCAUAAGGGCGGUGAACGAGUUCGAUUCUCGUCUUCGGUAC
rnacentral:tRNA from 1 species